UAUUCAGAACCUGCAAAUUGCCUUUUGUUUUUGGUUUUUUAUUACAGCUUCAUAUUCAUGUUUCCACAAUGCUGUGACUAGUUACUCAGCUAUAUAUGUAAAAAUUACAUUGAACGAUCAAAGCCCAUGUUUUCAGUUGGUGAAUACUGGGAUUUAUGCAACUACAAUGGUCAGGGCUCGGACUACAAUCAAGGAUGCAUCAUUUAUGUUUCUCUUGCACCAAAAGAAGAGUGUACUUCUUGGGACAGAAUCAGCUGCAUUCUGAACUGAAAUGUGAUGAUAUAUAUAUAUAUAUAUGCACAUUUAGGAAAGUGCAUUUAUAGAGUUUUGUUCUAUGUAAAUUGGAUUCCUGAUGGAGAAUAUUGGAUCUUCCACUAAGAAAAGCCUACUCUCUUUGGUAGCAAAGCAUAUUAUUCAACCAUAUAAAAAAUCUGCAUAAACUAAAUGGAGUGUUGGAAUGUCUUCUGUGCACUGUUCUUCACUUAAAAUACCUUUUCCAGGGAGAUUUGGUGCUUAUAUUGAUCUCUUGAUUUGUAAAUUUCAUCUGCUUGUCUUAUUUUGCACCAUGACUUACCAUGCUAAGUUCCAUGUUAGUGGUUUAUUUAUUCAUUCUUUUAUUUAGAGAUCAUAAAAGUUCUUAAAUUCAUCUGCAAGGGAACUGUUUUAUCAUAAAUAUGUAUAUUGGUUAGUUUAUGUCUGUUUCCCUUUCACAAUGUUCAUUUGCAGAUAGCCUUACACAACAGAUUAUCCAUUGGAUUGAUGGAACUGGACAGCUUGCUGCUGCAUUUAACUUCACCACAAAGGAAAUUCUUCAGUUGCCAGAUGGACUUACACUCCCAUUGAGAGCUAAUGAUCUGUAAAUGCUUAUUCAUGAUUGCCAUGUGGGAAGCUGUUAAGGGACAAUUUUGGUGUCUGCGUGAUUCUCAAGGGAAGCCCUCAGGUCUAGUGGGAUGGCCUUAAGGGCUGUUACAUUCCUUGAUAACCAUAAUACUGGCUCAACACAGGCCCAUCAGCUGUUCCCCUCAAAUCAUAUUAUGGAGGUAGUCACUCACCAGGGAUCCCAACGGUGUUUUAUGACCAGUUUUAUGAUUGUGGGGGUGAGUCCAUUCACGGCCAAAUUGUAAAAUUGACGUCCGCUGGCAUGGAGGCAUCCCCUCUUGAUGGUCUAUUAUGAUUCUGGAGGCCCAACCAAACCUUUAUUCAGCAGUAAUUGGGGAGAAAGUGUACAUGAAGAUUGGAAAUGGUUCAUGGUGCUCUGCUGGCAAAGAAUGGACACUAGCAACUUCUGGUCACAGAUAUGCAGUAUGGCAAAAAUAAGUGCCCCUAACCAGGUUAAUAAUUAUUUAUUUUCCCCUUUUUCCUCAAUAUUUUCUUGGUGGUGAUGUUCCUCAUUCAGGAUGGGGCUGGCUGCACCCAACAAGUAGUCAUGAUGUAUUAAUAAAGUUUCCUCUCCAAUUUGCUAUGGAACAUUUAUGAUGAAUAGCCCUGGAAGUAAAUUCUGUCACCACCGAACAAA